rfam:Blautia sp. YL58, complete genome.
AAAUAAAGGGGCAAAACUGUCGUAAGGCGGUGACGCAAAGCCACGGGUCCCAAGGGAGGGACAGCCGGGCUGCAGACA